ensembl:lncRNA
GAAGGAGGGGGGGGAGCAGCGAGCAGCAUGGCAGUCUCUGGCAAAGCGUUGACCACAAGAACCAGCAAGGCCAAAGUACAACAAAGCGCUGAAUGGCGGGCGCUGACUUCAGCGUGUCUGCCCCCUCUGAUCCACACAAGGUUGCACUGUGUGUGUUCGGCCUCCGAGAACGAAAGGGGCGGCCACGGCGCACAAUCACCACUAAGCACAUACUUUGCUGCCCCACAAUCCCCCACCAGGCCAGACACAAACCCAGGGGCUGUAUGUUUAUCAAAGCGCCUCAGGAUGCUGCCAUGGAGACAGUGCUCUUAUAUCUGUGGGGCUUCCACCUACUGUAUACCGCCAGAACAACCACACACGCGUUCACACAAACUGCAAAGAAUUCCUCCAUGCUUCACCCAAUCGCUGCAAACCCAAGCAGCGUUUGACCACAAUGAACCAUUUUGUAAGUUAUAAAGCAAUGUAAUUAUGUCCUAGAAACCCUUUUCCCACAGGAUGAGGGACAUAGCUCCUCAAAGCAGUCACAGCUCCCCGUUAAAUAUCAACUGUGGUCUCAAGGUUUUGAUGCCGGGCUCUUAUAUUAGGAAAAACACAUUCUUAUCCAAGUCAUUUGUUUUACUUUGCAAUUGCGUAAUUUGAUUAUGUGCAACUGGUAAGAGUCAAACACACUCUCCAUUUGGGUGAUUUGCCAAACAUCUCCGCUACCGCAGCUACAGGCAUUUUCAACUUAAACUUUAUAAUAAAUAAUAAUUUCCAAAUUAUAUUACAAAAGAAAAAUGCAAAUAAAUGAAUGGGGAAAAAAGGAAAAAUAAAUCUGUUCAACAGCUUGAUGAAAUGCAUCUAUGAUCAAAAUAAAAAGCAGACAGCGAGAGAUAAAUAUGCAAAGGGCAAUGUGCAGGAGCGUAUGUUAUUUUUUUUCUCUCACUGCUCUGCUGUCUUCAGAUCCAUAACACAUGCAGGCUCGGGUUAUCUGAUAAAUAAUACCUCCUGUCAUUAGUCUUCCAUGUUGAACAGCUUUCUGGUUGAUGUCAGGUGUGGCUGCUCUGAUUUUCCUAACUGGACCUCUGACAGACACUUACACAAACAGAAAUGCAACACCUCUGCAUCAGAUUCCUCACGGCGGCUGAAGGAAGGAGUGAGAAAGAGAGGGGGAGGGAAAAAACAGACACAGUGUGGGCUUUAAUACAUACACACUGCGUAUAUACUUUAUACGUAAAAUAGCAUAAGAUUGCGUUGUUCACUGUCUAUUCCGAACACACUGGAGAGUGGCGUAGUGACACACAGUGCGAAACACCCUCCGACUAGUUAAGAAUGAGAGUCAUCUGUCUACUCUAUUUUCAGACUCACUCUGCUGCG